rnacentral:rRNA from 1 species
UACGGAGGGGGCUAGCGUUGUUCGGAAUUACUGGGCGUAAAGCGCGCGUAGGCGGACCUGCAAGUCGGGGGUGAAAGCCCGAGGCUCAACCUCGGAACUGCCUUCGAUACUGCGGGUCUCGAGUCCGGGAGAGGUGAGUGGAAUUCCUAGUGUAGAGGUGAAAUUCGUAGAUAUUAGGAAGAACACCAGUGGCGAAGGCGGCUCACUGGCCCGGUACUGACGCUGAGGCGCGAAAGCGUGGGGGAGCAAAACAGG